rnacentral:rRNA from 1 species
GAUGAACGCUGGCGGCGUGCCUAAUACAUGCAAGUCGAGCGAACAGACGAGGAGCUUGCUCCUCUGACGUUAGCGGCGGACGGGUGAGUAACACGUGGAUAACCUACCUAUAAGACUGGGAUAACUUCGGGAAACCGGAGCUAAUACCGGAUAAUAUAUUGAACCGCAUGGUUCAAUAGUGAAAGACGGUUUUGCUGUCACUUAUAGAUGGAUCCGCGCCGCAUUAGCUAGUUGGUAAGGUAACGGCUUACCAAGGCGACGAUGCGUAGCCGACCUGAGAGGGGAGCGGGCCACAUGGAAAUGGAGACAGGGCCCAACUUCCAAGGGAGGGAAGCGGGGGGGAACUUUCCGAAAGGGGCGAAGGCGGACGGGGCAAACGCGGGGGGGGGAAUGAGGGUUUCGGAAUGGAAAAACUUUUUUUUUGGGGAAAAAAAAUGGGUAAAUAAACAUGCCCGUCUUUGAGGGAACUAAACAAAAAAGCACCGCCAAACUCGGG